rnacentral:tRNA from 1 species
GCACCGCUAGCUCAAUUGGCAGAGCAGGGGCCUCUUAAGCCCAAGGUUCCGGGUUCGAUUCCCGGGCGGUGCA